CGCAUUAGGGAUUAUUCCCCAUUGAGGGAAAUUCUGAUGGAACGACCCCGCCUGAGGGAAGAAGGCCUUCCGGUUGUAAAGCACUUUCAGUAGGGAGGAAAAGUUUAAGGUUAAUAACCUUAGGCACUGACGUUACCUACAGAAGAAGCACCGGCUAACUCCGUGCCAGCAGCCGCGGUAAUACGGAGGGUGCAAGCGUUAAUCGG
rnacentral:rRNA from 1 species